UUGAUGAUGGCCAAAGUUCGUUCCUUUAGUUUAGAACAAUUUUAAAGCUCAUGUCUGAACAAAUUUUAAAGCUUAUGUUUCUCUUAAUUAUCAGGUAUGCAUGUUUAUUUCUUCUUUCUUCGAGAGUGCAUUCUCAUACACAAGACCUGUUGCUGUUUGGUGAGUUACUUGCAUCUGAGGAGCUUGUCUUGUGUCUGAAUCGCCUUUUGCUGUGACUGGACUGUAUUGAAACUGCAGUUUGAUAGCUUGUGAUGACUGAACCCAUCUUAAAGGCUGCUAGGUAUUGAUUCAGUUGGAAUGGUGUAGAGCCUGAUGAGUGACGAAGCUUCAAGGGUUGCGAGUGCCAGAGUACAGAGUGACGAAGCUUCAAGGGUUGCGAGUGCCAGAGUACAGAAAAUGGAAUCCUUGCUCCAGAGCAUCUUCACUGCCGGGUCUCGGUGUCGGGCUGAGAUUGUGAAGGCUGCGACCGUGCAUUCGGAUUCUUAUCGUCAUCCUCUCGGUUUGUCCUGACUUCAAAUGUACUUGAGAAGAAGAACACGUUGGGGAUUGUAUGAUCACUUUCUUCUUUGUGCUUGCUUCUAGUGUUGUUGUAUUGGUAGUGCGUUAGUCUCAAAGCAACUUUCCAUGAGAGGAAGACCACAAAGACUUGCAUUCACUUCAAAGAAUGAUUUAGGUUUCUUUGAUUUUAAUUUUGAUAUGUUAAAGCUUGUUGAGACAUUGGUUCGUAGAUGAAGUUCCUAGACUUAGCAAAUGAAAUAAUUUAUGUUUUGAAAAAUUAAUGAAAUAUAAUUUCUUAUAUAUAGAUCAAAUUGCAAUGUUUUGAUUUACAUUUUGCACUACAAUUUAUGUGACAAUUAAAAUUUCAACAAUAAUAAAUUUGAAAAAAAAAAGAAUUUUUUAUUUCAAAUUCUAUACCCUAAACAUGCCCUAAAUCCUAAAUUGUGAAUAUUUCAUCAUAAAAUCCUAAGAUAGCACAACUAGUAAUAUGAUAAAAAGAAAAU